UGCUUAACACAUGCAAGUCGAACGGAAACGCGAAGAGCUUGCUCUUUGGCGUCGAGUGGCGGACGGGUGAGUAACGCGUGGGAAUCUACCCAGUAGUGGAGGACAGCCAGGAGAAAUCCUGAUUAAUACUGCAUACGAUCUACGGAUGAAAGGUGGCCUCUGUUUACAUGCUAUCGCUAUUGGAUGAGCCCGCGUUAGAUUAGCUAGUUGGUGGGGUAAGAGCCUACCAAGGCGACGAUCUAUAGCUGGUCUGAGAGGACGACCAGCCACAUCGGGACUGAGACACGGCCCGGACUCCUACGGGAGGCAGCAGUGGGGAAUAUUGGACAAUGGGCGCAAGCCUGAUCCAGCAAUGCCGCGUGUGUGAAGAAGGCCUUAGGGUUGUAAAGCACUUUCAAUUGUGAAGAAGAGUAUAAGAUUAAUACUCUUGUACUUUGACGUUAACUUUAGAAGAAGCACCGGCUAACUCUGUGCCAGCAGCCGCGGUAAUACAGAGGGUGCAAGCGUUAAUCGGAAUUACUGGGCGUAAAGCGCGCGUAGGCGGUUAGAUAAGUCAGAUGUGAAAUCCCCGGGCUCAACCUGGGAACUGCACCUGAUACUGUUUGACUAGAGUUUGGGAGAGGGAAGUAGAAUUUCAGGUGUAGCGGUGAAAUGCAUAGAGAUCUGAAGGAAUACCAGUGGCGAAGGCGACUUCCUGGCCUAAAACUGACGCUGAGGUGCGAAAGCGUGGGUAGCAAACGGGAUUAGAUACCCCGGUAGUCCACGCCGUAAACGAUGUCAACUAGUCGUCGGUUCCCUUGAGGGAUCGGUGACGCAGCUAACGCAUUAAGUUGACCGCCUGGGGAGUACGGUCGCAAGACUAAAACUCAAAGGAAUUGACGGGGGCCCGCACAAGCGGUGGAGCAUGUGGUUUAAUUCGAUGCAACGCGAAGAACCUUACCAUCCCUUGACAUCCGGAGAAUUUGCAAGAGAUUGCUUAGUGCCUUCGGGAACUCCGUGACAGGUGCUGCACGGCUGUCGUCA
rnacentral:rRNA from 1 species